rnacentral:lncRNA from 1 species
CAAGAUCUUUGAAAUCAUAUGUUAGAUGCGUUGGUUUAUAUUUAAAAAUACACAUUAAUUUAAUUCAAAAGUCUAAUGAAGCUUUCAGUACAACCUACAAUCAUCUAAUGCUAACACCAGCAGUACAAAGCCUUCCCUUUGGAAAGCUCAUCUAGAAAACUAUGUAUCUGAAGGUCAUUUACCAACUGUUUUUUGCCCUACAGAGGAGGAAGAAAUGUAAGGCAAAGGAGAAUUCAGUUAGAUUUUGUCUAGGUUAGGAUUACCUGACCUCCAUGAUGGAGACAGACCUGGUAUCCUUUGGGUUAUCAUGUUUAUUAAAUCUACACAUGGACUGAAGAUCUUUAGCUCAUUAUUUCUUUCCUUUUUUGAGACAGGAUCUCACUCUUUUGCCCAGGCUGGAGUGCAGUGGCACAAUCAUAGCUCACUGCAGCCUCAACCUCCCACGCUCAAGUGAUCCUCCUGCCACAGCCUCCCGAGUAGCUGGAACUGCAGUUGUCAGCCAUCAUACCCAGCUAAUUUCCCAAUUUUUUGUAGAGAUGUUGUCUCGCUAUGUUGCCGAGGAUGGUCUCAAACUCCUGGACUCAAGAGAUAUUUGCCUAGGUAUCCCAAAAUGCUGGGAUUACAGACAUGAACCACUGUGCCCAACCUUUAGCUCCUUAUAAUGUGUAUUUAAAUCAAUGAAUUAUUUACAACUAUUAACUAAGAACUAAGUUUCUUUAAAGUGUUUUCAUUACAAUUUUCCUACAGUAGCUUCAGCCUGCUUCCUCAAUUCUGGAGUCACGUCAGCAUCAAAUGUGGACACAGUUUUGUUAAUUUGGGCUGCAAUAUAUAUGUAAGGAUUAGGGAAAGACAUAGGAGGUAAUAUCUACAAGGACAGAGUUGGGAUUCUGUAGUUCAAAGAAGUCUAUUGGAGAUUUGUUCAACUCAGAUGUAGGAAACAAAGGAAGAUAACAACUGAAUUUGGGGGACAAAGACUCAGCCAAGAGAAAACUAUAGUUGUCCUCUCUACAAGACAAUAGGCAGCAUCUUAAAUUAUGAAAAAUUUUACACAGAUAUUUUUCUAAAUUAUUUUUACAAUUUUCUGUAU